AGAGCAGCAGCAACAUCAGUGAACAGAGUUAAACAAUUAAACGGACUUAAACUGAGUUACAGUGCUGUUAAAGUUAUAAAUCCACUCAGUAAAUAAUAGAUUUAGUGUUUUAGUGAUCAGACAGUGAGAGAUGUCGCUCUGCAGCACAGUGAUGAAGACUCUGAUCUUCUUCACAUUUUCUCUUCAUCUUUCAUCAGCAGAUAAACACUAUUACCAGUAUUUCUACACUGGAGUCACACCAGGAAUUAACUUCCCAGAAUUCACUGCUGUUGGGAUGCUGGAUGGUCUGCAAGUCAACUACUAUGACAGCAACAUCAUGAAGUUUGAGCCAAAGACUGAGUGGAUAAAGAAGGUUCAUAAUGAUGAUCCAGAUGUCUGGAAUAGAUGGAGCAAGAAUUUCAAGGAGGGUACUCAGGAGAGCUUCAAAGUCGGUGUGGAUACACUAAUGCAGCGCUUUAAUCAGACCACAGGAGUUCACACAUGGCAGAUGAUGUGCGGCUGUGAGCUGGAUGAUGACGGGACUGUUAGAGGAUACACACAGUUUGGUUAUGAUGGAGAAGAUUUUGUCAGUUUGGAUCUUAAAACUAAAACGUGGGUCGCUCCAACACCAAAAGCUUUGAUCACCAAGAACAAGUGGGAUCCUGAUACUGGUUAUAAUAACAACUGGAAGAACUACCUGGAGAAAGAGUGUAUCGACUGGAUAAAGAAGUAUGUGUCUUACGGCAGAGAGACUCUGGAGAGGAAAGUUCGUCCUGAGACGUCACUGUUCCAGGAAGAAGCCUCUUCUCCAGAGGUGGUGUGUCACGCUACAGGUUUCUUCCCCAAAGCAGUGAUGAUCUUCUGGAGGAAGGACGGAGAGGACGUGCAUGAGGACGUGGAGCUCAGAGAGACGUUACCCAACCAGGAUGGAAGCUUCCAGAAGAGAAGCAUUCUGAAAGUCCCAGCUGAGGAGCUGCAGAAACACACCUACACCUGUGUGAUUCAGCACAGCAGCUUGGAGAAGGAGUUAGUGCUGAAUGUGAGCGAGCGACAGAUCCUGAAAGGUGGAGGAUCGAUGGUUAUCAUCAUUGGUGUAGUCGUGGCUCUCAUUGUUCUCGUUCUGAUUGCCGUUGUUGCUGGAAUUAUAGUUUGGAAGAAGAAGAACUCUGGUGAGAGGAGGAAGGAGGCAGAUGUGAAGUUUUCAGAGAACAGAUUUACACUUUCUAAUUCUUGAAGGAGAUUUGAUGAAGAUUUUACUUGUUUUUAAUCUGAACUGAUAAACUGAUAAAUAAAUGUCUGUCCAUCAUCUGUGUUUCAGGCUUCAAACGUGCUCCAGCCUCUGAAGAGUCUUCCUCCACCAACUCUUAAAGCGUGACUGUGUGUCUUCCUGCUGAAGUGAGAGAGAGACACCAGGAGAUGGAGAUGAGGACCACACACACACACACACACACAAUAUUCAGUGGGUAUCGGGGUAUGAUUUAUUUUCUUGUAAAUCUCUUGUUCUGGGUGUAAAAUGGGAUUUUUCUGAUUGUUAUAGUUUUAUUUUUAUGCUCUGUGUAAAUUCUCUGUGUAGUUUGCAUUCUUCAUCUGUGAUUUUACACACACACACACACACACACACACACACACACACACAGAUCUACUCAGGCUUCAGUCUUUAAUAGUGUUUUAAACAGGAGUGUGUAUCAGUUUGUGUAUCAGUUUGUUUAUUCUGUACGUUUCUCAGCUGAUUUCCUGUAGAAUUGAAUCAGGUUCAGAUCGUCAGCACACGAGAGCUUUGAGUUCCGUCUUUUCCCUCUGACUCCAGUGAGAUUUUCCUCAGCAGCUGUUUGUGUAGCUGAUGGAUUUGUGCGUCUCAGACAGAAACUGGGUUCUUCAGAUGUGAUGAGUGUUGAACAGAUUGGACUAAAGUGUAAAAGAACAGGAGUGAAGACAGCAGAAGCAGGAGGUCAUGCUGGAGGAUCAGAACUCUGAGAUUUUAUUUUCAACACAAGAACAAAACACAAAGUCACUAAACCUCACUGAGGACUUUAUUUAUUACUGAACUCCAUUUAAAACUUAAACAAUCCAUUCAACACCUUUUCACAUCUGAACGACCUGUUUAACAAAUCUGUGUGUUUUAUUAGCUUCAGUCCCAUCAGUAAUUCUAACACAUCAUACUGUGUGUGUUUCCAGACCUUUAAACACACAAACACACACUCAGCACUGACUCACAAUCAGUUAUCAACCUUCAUCUGUUCUGUUCUGUUUUAAGGGGAUUAGUCUCAUAAAGACACAUUUACUGGUUUGUGUUUCUUCUCUGUUUAAAUUUUAGCUUAAGAUUAAUAUUAACAUGAUAAAGAUAAAAGGAUGCAAACUGUUAUAAUAAUGCUGAAAUAAAUAA